CAACUCCCCUCACAAUUGCCACAAUGCUUGGCCUACAACUAUGUACAAGUAUGUGUGUGGUGCCAUGUGGGGGUGGCAAAUACGCUGACGAUACUCGCUUCCACUUCCAGUCGACACACACCCGCUUGCACUGGCUCAGUGCUACUGGCGUUGGCGUUGGCGUCGGUGUCGGUGUCGACGUCUUCUUCAAGUUGCUUUGCACUAACGCGUUUUGUUGUUUGGUGCGGGCUUGGCAAAGUCGUUCGCGGACAGUAGCAGUCGCGCAUUGUGACUGACUGGUGCGUCGCGUCUCAAUAAUUCGCCGCCCAUUCGCGCACUGCCUUUGCUAACUGUUAUAACGGUCGCGCGCUUGCACUCAUACAUACAGACACUUGUAAUAUUUCGCGUAAAAAGGCAACCUGAGUUAAUAUUUCUUCGCGACGUGGAGAGCGUUUGUUGGAAAUUCGCUGUGCAACUUUGCACGCAUAGAGUUGAUUUUUUUUCGACUUCUCACAUCUCGAUUGCCGCUGUUGAUUGCUUCCUUGGAGUCUGUGUAUUGCCGCUGCUGCCAACGCCUUCACCGCCUGCCGCGCCAACGUGCCACUAUCGACAUGGGCGCGUCGCCCCCGUCGCUGGCUGGCAUUGAUGGAGCCGUUGAAGAUGAAACGCGAAGACGCGCUCCCAAAUUGUUUAGCGAUUCAGUGGUGAUAAGGCGCCAGCCACUAAAGAAGAAAAGGAAUCUGUUCUGUUCGCAUUGCGUGCAAUACAAAUUGAAAUUUCAUUCCUCAACGUGAGGCGCAUCCGAAAGGUUGUCGUCGGCUUUGCUAUAUUAUACGUUUGGGGAUUGCCCCAAGUUGUUGCCAAAGAACUCAGAAAAAUUAAAAGUUGAGACAAUAUUUAACAUUACAGUACUGUUGUGAGUUGUGUGACUAAAAUAUUGUGUGGCACGAGUAAAAAAAAAUUUAAAAAAAAAAAAUAAAAACAAUUUUUAAAGUUACGUAUGAAAGUGUUAAAAAUUAUUUUUCCAGAAAAAAUAAAUAAAAUCAAUAACGCUAUUUUAAAAUAAAAAUUGCAAGCAAAUGGAUUUGAUGACAACAAUUUUGUGCAAAAGAGCUUUUACCGUUACGCUGCAUAUCAUUUGGGUGAAACACAAAUUAUAGACUAAUUUCAAACAACUCGCAGGUUUAGAAAUAAUAUAAACCGUUUAAAAUGGAGUGAUAAUACUCGUUAGAAGUCUAUAUGCACAAUUAUAUGCUCUAGCUCAGACCGUCCUCUCUGCAAAAGUACAGUAAAUAGCGCAAAUGAAUUGUUGCACCAACCAAAUGUGGUGAGAAUGAUGCAUGAAUGCUUAUUAGACAAUGUCCAGUAAGAAUUCCUACGACAGCGGCAAGAUAAACUUUGCUAAAUAUGGAGGUAGAUCGACAAAAACUUCUUGAAAUCCGAAAAUUAGACAUUUGAGUGCACUAGAAAUGAUAUAUUCCACGACGGGAAGGCAACUCCGGUAAGAGGAGAGGCAAUCAGCAAGAAUACUUAAGACUGAGCAGCAAACGUAUGGAUAUAAGGACACCUAAGAAGAUAUAUAAGCAUGCUAAUAUUAAGAAUAUAAAAUAAGUUUGAAAGAAUACUAAGC